AAAUAAUGCAAGCAGCUCCAUUCCCCACGGCAACUGUGCAGAGAGGCUUGCAGGUCCAAACCACUGGUAGCAGCCCCUGGUAUAUCCAGGACAUCAGCACAUAGAACCAGUGAAAGGGUCCUCCCUCAUAGUGACGCAUGUCAUAGACUCAGAUUUAUACAAACAAAUGCUGAGCAAACCAUGAAGAGUCUCUGGUAUUUUCAACAAUAUCAUCACAGAGGAACUGUAUUGAUUUCCUUCCUUCAGUGGUCCAAGAACCUGCUGCUCCCGGGUCCUCUCAUUUGAAGACACCCACCGCCUAAGGAUGAAGAGAAGCUCCUUCUUGCAGAUCUGAGGCUGAUUUCCCAACUCCCAGGAACACCCUACCCACAGCCUGUUCCCCAGACCCAGAUGGGGUUUGCAGGAGCAAUGGCUGUAGGGACACUAAGAUUUCACCCUCCAGAAGACAGCAUCUUCCUGUGCCAUGGCUAGAUCACCAGCUACCCACAGACAGCCUGAACUCCAAUUGUCUUCCUGCACAUGUGCCUUUAAAGGAACUUUUCAAAUGUAGAGGAGCCUUUAGAAGGAAGCCUUGAGCAUGAGGACAGACCCCCCUCAUCCAACCACCACCUGACUCUGUGUGAACCUGGAACUGUUAGAAUGUCUGUGCUGUGAUAAAAGGUCAUCUCCCUACAAUGUUAUGAUACAGACCUCAAACCUACAAACAUGAGGAACUUCUGCCUCCAGGUUAACUGCUUACCCACUGUACAAGACACGUUACACACAGUCCAGGAGGCGGAGCUUCUGAGAUAUCUAGAAACAGCUUAGAGGCAAAAUGACAAAAUAAAGCAGCAACAACAAAUAAAACCAAUCUUCUCGAACUGG
rnacentral:lncRNA from 1 species